rnacentral:rRNA from 1 species
AGUGAACGCUGGCGGUAGGCCUAACACAUGCAAGUCGAACGGCAGCACAGUAAGAGCUUGCUCUUACGGGUGGCGAGUGGCGGACGGGUGAGGAAUACAUCGGAAUCUACUUUUUCGUGGGGGAUAACGUAGGGAAACUUACGCUAAUACCGCAUACAACCUACGGGUGAAAGCAGGGGAUCUUCGGACCUUGCGCGAUUGAAUGAGCCGAUGUCGGAUUCGCUAGUUGGCGGGGUAAAGGCCCACCAAGGCGACGAUCCGUAGCUGGUCUGAGGGGAUGAUCAGCCACACGGGAACUGAGACACGGUCCAGACCCCUACGGGAGGCAGCAGUGGGGAAUAUUGGACAAUGGGCGCAAGCCUGAUCCAGCCAUACCGCGUGGGUGAAGAAGGCCUUCGGGUUGUAAAGCCCUUUUGUUGGGAAAGAAAAGCAGCAGGUUAAUACCCCGCUGUUCUGACGGUACCCAAAGAAUAAGCACCGGCUAACUUCGUG